GAAUGGUAGGGUUGUUGUGAAAGCCCCGAGGAAAACCCCCUCUCCCCCAUCACAGAGGAAACUACUAGCACUAAGGUACCUAGCUUUGUUACUCUUUCAUCGAGUGCGUGAUCAUGACAAGACUCGAGGAAGAAGCCCUGGCUAACUCCGUGCCAGUAGCCGCGGUAAGACGGGGGGGCAAGUGUUCUUCGGAAUGACUGGGCUAAAGGGCACGUAGGCGGUGAAUCGGGUUGAAAGUGAAAGUCGCCAAAAACUGGCGGAAUGCUCUCGAAACCAAUUUACUUGGAUAGAUUGGGGGUUUCAAACUCUGUAUUGCCUAAGUGGCUGGUCUAAAGGAAAGGAUAUCAUGAGAAACAAACCAUCACAAUAACCACAUAA
rnacentral:rRNA from 1 species